GAUGAAGAACGCAGCGAAAUGCGAUAAGUAAUGUGAAUUGCAGAAUUCAGUAAAUCAUCGAAUCUUUGAACGCACAUUGCGCCCCCUGGUAUUCCGGGGGGCAUGCCUGUCCGAGCGUCAUUACAACCCUCAAGCUCAGCUUGGUAUUGGGCCCCGCCGACCCGGCGGGCCCUAAAGUCAGUGGCGGUGCCGUCCGGCUCCGAGCGUAGUAAUUCUUCUCGCUCUGGAGGUCCGGUCGUGUGCUCGCCAGCAACCCCCAAUUUUUUUCAGGUUGACCUCGGAUCAGGUAGGGAUACCCGCUGAACUUAAGCAUAUCAAUAAGCGGAGGA
rnacentral:misc_RNA from 1 species